rnacentral:lncRNA from 1 species
UGCACAACAAAGACAUUUUGUUAUUUAUAUAAUACCAAAGCACCAAACUUCUUUAUUAACCAUGAAAGGAACGUAAAUAAACCCUCAUAGAAGGAAUACACAGGUUCAUAAUCAUCUCAAUAUAUAAAAUAGUUUCUGAAGCAGACAGAUCUUGUGACUAAUGUCACACACACAGGAUUCAUUCAGCAAAACAAACGACAUAUUGCUACCAAGAAGUAAUACGUAAUCAGGAGAGAAAGGGGAGGUCUCCAAUCAGAUCUUCAACCGCGUCAGCCGCAUCAGAUCCAGAGAUAAGCUUCCCAAGAACCACUCCUUUUAUGAAAGACGACGAACUAACCUUUUUUGGUGCCGGGAUAGGAUAGUAGCAUGGAUAACCUGGACCUGCUGGUGGUGGUGGUGGAUAUGGAGAUCCACUCCAGUAGCCUGGACCUGCUGCUGGUGGUGGUGGAUAUGGAGAUCCAUUCCAGUAGCCUGGACCUGCUGGUGGUGGUGGUGGAUAUGGAGAUCCAUUCCAGUAGCCUGGACCUGGUGGUGGUUGCGCAUAGGCAUAGGGUCCCAUGCCUGGUGGCGGCGGCGGCGGUGGUGGUGAAGCCAUCUUGUGAGAUAAAUAUAGAGGGGAUGGACUGGUGGUGUUGUAUAUAUGAAGUGAAUAACAGGAAGAUGCUGCGAAGCAGCCUAUUUGAUAUCAACGUUAAACAGUAAUAAUUUCAAACCCUAUCACAGUCGACGUCCCUAUCACUAUAUGGUAUAAUAUACAAAAUUGAUAAAUAAAC